rnacentral:rRNA from 1 species
AGAGCUUGCUUUCUCGAGCGAGUGGCGAACGGGUGAGUAACGCGUGAGGAACCUACCUCAAAGAGGGGGACAACAGUUGGAAACGACUGCUAAUACCGCAUAAUGUAUUCUGACCGCAUGAUCGGAAUACCAAAGAUUUAUUGCUGAAAGAUGGCCUCGCGUCUGAUUAGAUAGUUGGUGAGGUAAUGGCCCACCAAGGCGACGAUCGGUAGCCGGACUGAGAGGUUGAACGGCCACAUUGGGACUGAGACACGGCCCAGACUCC